AGGAUUCCUAAUAUUAUGACGUACAAUUAAACGUGUUUUCAUGGGCUGCACUCUAAGUAAGAGUCUCAAUCCAAAUGACAAUUUUACGGGUGAUGCUGAAAGAAAUGAAAAUGGGAAAGAAUCAGAAGUAGAACACCUAAAUGGAAAUGGAAAUGGAGUCGACAAUGACGAUGAUAGUGAUACUGAUAGCGUGAGCGAGUUUCUUUCUAACGUCAAGGAAGCUCAGACAAUUGAUUGUAUCUACAAUGAUCAAAAGAGUUCACAGGUUACCAGAGACAGCUUAACUGGAAACAUAUCACAUUUUGUGACAAAGAAGAGGGAAUCGUUGUCUGUUACUUUCCGAAGGUUGUCGAAAGAAAAGCGGCGGGACACUUUUGGGCGUGAAGUGAAAGUCAGCCCAUUUCAUUCAUCCUCAACACCAGACUCAGUUGACGAAUACGUCUCAUCUCUGAAUGUAGCAAAAAAAUCGAUGAACGAAAGGAGGAAAUCUGUAGCCACAUAUGAUCAGGAUGACGAUGAGGAAAUGGACCUUCUGAAGAUCAGGGACAAUCCAACCCGAGCAAGGAGGCUGUCCUCUCGAACCCCUAAAUUUCAACCAAUACAAGAGUUAAGAAUGGAGUCUCCGCCUGUCCAUUUUAAAUCACGCUGACAGCUUGAUGUUGUUAAAUUAUGACCUUCAGUUACUGCGUUCUUUAAGCUCCAUCAAAUACCUAAGUUUGGUAUAAUGAUUAUGGCCCAUACAUGUGGCAUUUUUUGUACUGUGUACACUCAUCAGACAACUUGAUUUUUCCUUCACUAUCAACACUUUUCUAUUCGAUUUUGACGUACGUGAGAGAAUAAAUGUGUGAUAUUGUCGAACGGAUUGAAAUAAAAUCAGUUAACAGAUUCCAUUAACUAAAUAAUUAACAAUCACAAUGAGAGGACUUUAGUUUCAGAGUAUUUGCAAGACAAUAAAGCAUGCAUCAAAUAUGCAGUAUGACAGGAAAACGGUUAUCCGAAAACCUAGAUAUUUUCUUUGCUUAUGGCGGCAAACUUCCGCAUUUAUUUUUACCAUGGAGAAAAAGUUUUUAUUACAAGCUAAUUUUCUGAUUGACAUAUCUACAUUUAUUUUUUAGUUGAAAAAUAAAGCACACAAUUUUAUUCAUAUCAAUUGAAAUUGUAAAAUGAUUAUAUUUAUACGUUGUAAACAGUAAAACUUGUAAAAAUAUCAAAUCGAAUGAUUACAUGAUAAUUUAAA